CAGCAGCCGCGGUAAUACAGAGGGUGCAAGCGUUAAUCGGAAUUACUGGGCGUAAAGCGCGCGUAGGUGGUUUGUUAAGUUGGAUGUGAAAGCCCCGGGCUCAACCUGGGAACUGCAUUUGAAACUGGCAGGCUAGAGUCUUGUAGAGGGGGGUAGAAUUCCAGGUGUAGCGGUGAAAUGCGUAGAGAUCUGGAGGAAUACCGGUGGCGAAGGCGGCCCCCUGGACAAAGACUGACGCUCAGGUGCGAAAGCGUGGGGAGCAAACAGGAUUAGAUACCCCUGUAGUCCCUGUCUCUUAUAC
rnacentral:rRNA from 1 species